AGCCCAAAUUUGAAGUAGAGUAGAUGAAUAGGAUCAGCCGGUCCUACUCCUCUACCCUACUUCGCAUUCGGGUCC
rfam:Haemonchus placei strain MHpl1 genome assembly, scaffold: HPLM_contig0001520